UGGAUACAUGUGUACUCGGAAAUGUAACUUGAGAGUUGUAAAGUUUAAAGCCACCAGACACUGACCAGGAUCCGGCCGGAACUGGACUCCGGAAGAUGGACGCCCCCUGGUGGAUUGAAACGGACGCCACACAUAUCAAUCCUGACCAACUUGUUUUAUUCCGGGACAAGCCGAAUAGCGACUCGUGCCCAUUUUGAAGGAUUUCAUAUUGGCGUGUGAACAUAGGAACUGCUUAGAACGAGAACGAUAUUCGUGUUUAAACCUCUUUAAUGGAACUAAAAGAAAGGAAAACCGUAUAUGAGUACGAUGCCAAUAAAUGAUUUAUGUAGUUGUA